GAUGAACGCUGGCGGCGUGCCUAAUACAUGCAAGUCGAGCGAACAGACGAGGAGCUUGCUCCUCUGACGUUAGCGGCGGACGGGUGAGUAACACGUGGAUAACCUACCUAUAAGACUGGGAUAACUUCGGGAAACCGGAGCUAAUACCGGAUAAUAUAUUGAACCGCAUGGUUCAAUAGUGAAAGACGGUUUUGCUGUCACUUAUAGAUGGAUCCGCGCCGCAUUAGCUAGUUGGUAAGGUAACGGCUUACCAAGGCAACGAUGCGUAGCCGACCUGAGAGGGGGAUGGCCACCCUAGAACUUGAACACCGACCAGGACCCUAAGGGAGGGCAGAGGUGGGGAAUUUUCCGAAAUGGGGGAAAGCCUGCCGAGGCAGCGCCGGGGGGGUGAAGAAGGUCUUCGUAUGGUAAAACUCUUUUAUUGGGGAAAAAAAAUUGUGUAAGUAACUAUGCACGUUUUAAGGGAACUUAUACAGAAACCCCGGCUAACUUCGGG
rnacentral:rRNA from 1 species